rnacentral:rRNA from 1 species
UACGAGGGGGGCAAGCGUUGUUCGGAAUUAUUGGGCGUAAAGGGCGCGUAGGCGGUGCGGUAAGUCACCUGUGAAAACUCUGGGCUCAACUCAGAGCCUGCAGGCGAAACUGCCGUGCUUGAGUGUGGGAGAGGUGCGUGGAAUUCCCGGUGUAGCGGUGAAAUGCGUAGAGAUCGGGAGGAACACCAGAGGCGAAGGCGGCGACCUGGACAGGUACUGACACUGAGGCACGAAGGCCAGGGGAGCAAACGGG